rnacentral:lncRNA from 1 species
CUUGCAGUCUGCUGAGGGGAACAUCCAAAACUAUCUGAAGCCCCGGGCUGAACCAGGCUCUGCAGACAUUGGUGGUGUCCUAGAAGGCUCUUGCUGAGGUCUUAUGUCUGAAAAGAAACCCUCGGAAACCCACUUGAGUCUGUCUUGCAUUUCACAUGAAACAAGGCUUCAUUCUGCAAAAAUAUCUGGGACCUUCAAAUUCACAAGUGGAUUUUCUGCUCAGGGGAGAGCUACCAAUCGGUUGAAAGGUAUGUUACAGCUCUAAGAAGCUGCAUCCAUUUCCUGUAGGAUCCAUAGUUUCUGGUUCUGGUUCCAGGGAACUCCUUCAAAUGAACUGGUCGCCAUAUGAAUUGAUGCUACACUUUGAGCGUUGCCGCAGUCAGGUGAAUUCAAGCUACAGAGAAGAGGCGAUUCACAUUUUUUCCUUCUGUCUUGUAUUAUUCCUCCGGCUCAAGAACCUGCCAGAGAUGGAAUCUCCCUAUGUUCCCCAGGCUGAUCUUGAAUUUCUGAGCUCAAGCGAUCCUCCUGCCUUGGCCUCCCAAAGUGCCAGGAUUAUAGGCGUGAGCCACCAUGCCUGGCCAGAGAGCAUUUUAGUAAGGAUAAAAAGUUUUAUUGGCCUCAGGCUGAAGUUUGCAAUUAUAUUCCAAAUACCCAAAGUGGGUAUAUUAUUGACGUUGUCCUGAGAGAGGGACAGACAGUUUGACUGUGUUGCUUUCUUUGGAGUCAGUUUUGGGGCUGUUAAGGAUUACCUGGAAACAUUAGAUGAAGCUGGGG